ACCUAGAAAGCGAAGAUUGUCGAAUUCAAGACGUAGAUCCAGAUCACGUUCCGUGCGUAGGUCUCUGUCUCCUCGGCGACGUAGGAUACACUCUCCUUUCAGAAGCAGGUCGCGGUCACCUAUUAGACGUCACAGGCGACCUACGCAUGAGGGACGCCGUCAAUCACCAGCCCCUUCAAGACGUCGCCGUUCUCCAUCCCCACCUGCUAGACGGCGCAGGUCACCAUCCCCACCUGCUAGACGGCGCAGGUCACCAUCACCACCUGCUAGACGGCACAGGUCUCCAACACCACCUGCAAGGCAGCGCAGGUCACCAUCGCCCCCUGCUAGGCGUCACCGUUCUCCACCGCCAGCUAGGCGGCGUAGGUCUCCUUCACCGCCAGCUAGGCGGCGUAGGUCUCCUUCACCGCCAGCUAGGCGGCGUAGGUCUCCAUCUCCACUCUACAGGCGUAACAGGUCUCCAUC
rnacentral:lncRNA from 1 species